GCUGGGCGUGGAGGCGCACGCCUGUAAUCCCAGAUACUCAGGAGGCUGAGGCAGGAGAAUUGCCUGAACCCAGGAGGCACAGGUUGCAGUGAGCCGAGAUCGUGCCAUUGCACUCCAGCCUGGGCGACAGGGCAAGACUCCGUCUCAA
rnacentral:SRP_RNA from 1 species